CAUAGGAUUUUGUUUUUCUCUUUUUUCUUUUCAAGUUGAGCACUUAAUCAUCUUGUGGUCAUCACCAUCAUCACCAUGAUCAUCUCUUGCUCUAUCACUUGGCAUGUACCAACCUCAUCUAGUCUACACACACUUAGCAUAGAGGUUAAUACUAGGACUUUAUCAAUUAUCCAAAACCAAACUAGGGCUUUCAAUCGUGAAGAGCAAUUCUAAUGGAAGCAUGGCUAGUUGGUGGGCACCUCUUGAGUGGUUCUUUCAGCACUCAAGUGGUUUGUUUGGUGUGUGAGGUCAAUUAGCACCUAAACCAUUAAAUACGGGGACAUAUCACUCUUGGUCUUACAUUCAUAUUCUUGCUAGUGUGGUAGUUGUGUGCCUUGAGCUAGUGUAAAGUAGUCGUAGCUCUUUGAAGUUGUAACUAUUUGCUUUCUAAGUAGGUUUAGCUAGUUGUAGCUCUUUAGUCUUGUUAGUAGCUUGGUUGUUUGUAUGAUAGAUUAGAGACCAAGCUACUAGCAUUGUUUAGGGGCUUGCCUUGGGUGUUAUAGACCGAGCUAGUGAAAAUUAGAAGCUAUUAGGGCUAUUUAUUGUAGUAAACACUUUAGUCUAGUAUUUGUGGGUUUGUAGGAAUUUUUUUAUAGGCUAUUUACGCCUCUCUAGCCAUCUAGAUCCUAUUAGAAUGC
rnacentral:lncRNA from 1 species